rnacentral:miRNA from 1 species
GCUGAACCUCGGCUCGAUGCACCA